rnacentral:hammerhead_ribozyme from 1 species
AUUAAACUUUAGAGUCCCAAAUAGGACGAAACGCGCGUCCUGGAU